UCUCACGGAGAGUUUGAUCCUGGCUCAGGAUGAACGCUGGCGGCAUGCUUUACACAUGCAAGUCGGACGGGGAG
rnacentral:rRNA from 1 species